UACGAAGCGUGCGAACGUUAUUCGGAAUCACUGGGCUUAAAGGGCGCGUAGGCGGGUUCUCAAGUCAGGGGUGAAAUCCCGCGGCUCAACCGUGGAAGUGCCUUUGAUACUGGGGAGCUCGAGGGAGGUAGGGGCGUGCGGAACUUCCGGUGGAGCGGUGAAAUGCGUAGAUAUCGGAAGGAACACCGGUGGCGAAAGCGGCGCGCUGGACCUCUUCUGACGCUGAGGCGCGAAAGCCAGGGGAGCAAACGGG
rnacentral:rRNA from 1 species